CCGCCCAUAGCUCAGUUGGUAGAGCAGCUCCCUUUUAAGGAGAUGGUCCUAGGUUCGAAUCCUAGUGGGCGGACCA
rnacentral:tRNA from 1 species